rnacentral:rRNA from 1 species
CUGACCGUGCAAGGUAGCAUAAUAAUUUGCCCAUUAAUUGUGGGAUAGAAUGAAUGGAGAAACGUAAUAUUUACUAUAUAAUUAUUAUAAAAUUAAUCUAGCAUCUAAAUGAAGAGAUUUAGAUUAAAAUAAAAGACAAGAAGACCCUAUAGAGCUUUAAUUAAUCUUAUAUAUAAUAUAAAAAAAUUUAGGUUGGGGCGACCUAGGAUAAAUCAUCCUAAAUAAAUCAGAUCUACCAAUCAAAACAAAGAUCCUAUAAAAUAGACUUAGAAUUAAGCUACCUUAGGGAUAACAGGCUAAUCUUAUUAAAGAGUUCAUAUCUACAAUA